rnacentral:rRNA from 1 species
GAUGAACGCUGGCGGCGUGCUUAACACAUGCAAGUCGAACGAUGAAGCCCAGCUUGCUGGGUGGAUUAGUGGCGAACGGGUGAGUAACACGUGAGUAACCUGCCCUUGACUCCGGGAUAAGCCUGGGAAACUGGGUCUAAUACUGGAUAUGACUUCUCAUCGCAUGGUGGGGGGUGGAGAGAUUUAUUGGUCUUGGAUGGACUCGCGGCCUAUCAGCUUGUUGGUGAGGUAAUGGCUCACCAAGGCGACGACGGGUAGCCGGCCUGAGAGGGUGACCGGCCACACUGGGACUGAGACACGGCCCAGACUCCUACGGGAGGCAGCAGUGGGGAAUAUUGCACAAUGGGCGCAAGCCUGAUGCAGCGACGCCGCGUGAGGGAUGACGGCCUUCGGGUUGUAAACCUCUUUCAGUAGGGAAGAAGCGAGAGUGACGGUACCUGCAGAAGAAGCGCCGGCUAACUACGUG